AUUACACAUUGGAGUGUCUUUGCAGGAACACUCGAUGAUUCGUGUUGGCAAAAUAGCCGUGGAAAGAGAUCAUUCAAUAAAAAUUACAAGGGUCAUGAUAAUUUGCAGGAACUAAACUCGAUAUAAACAAAUUCACAUUGUCUUUGGAAAAGACGUGUUGCAUUGGCAAAAACGAAAUAGAACACUCGUAUAGAGGAAGCACAACUAUACUACACGUCAAAGCAAUUAAUGAGUAAAUAUGAUUCCUGCCACAGUUGUGACCAGAAAAACGAUUUUCUUGCCAAACCGAAAUAAAUCAACCCUCUUUCCUCGUUAAAGGUGGGAUGCACAUCCUCCAAAGGAUCUUGGUUUGGCAUGCGAAUAAGUGUACAUGGGCAGAUUUUUUUUCUACUUCGAGGUGGAGUAGCUUACUGGGAAAGAAGAAAAGUUGGCUCAAGUGCUUUAACGGUCAUGGAGCAGUUGUCCCACUACCCUACCAAUUCACUUCUUUAGCUCAAUUAAGCGCCUCAAUAGUCAAUGGGGAAACCAUUAGCUCAGAAUUUGAUGUUGCUUCAGAGCUUAGUCUGUCCUGGCAAAAUCAACUUUUGAGAGCACAAUUUAAAAGGCUGGACUUCGAAAACAAAGAUUUGCCAAAACUUCACAAGGCCCAAGAAUUUCUUGACAUUGAGCACGUGUAGUUCAGGUUUUCAAUAAUUGGCAUGGGUAAACUACAUAGACCCGGCUUUCCAUGUGCCGGAAUAAAAUUAAGCUCUAUGUAAAGGCCCAAGCCUAAGCCAUGGG
rnacentral:lncRNA from 1 species